UACGUAGGGGGCGAGCGUUGUCCGGAUUCAUUGGGCGUAAAGAGCUCGUAGGCGGUUUGGCAAGUCGGGUGUGAAACCUCCAGGCUCAACCUGGAGACGCCACCCGAGACUGCUAUGACUAGAGUCUGGUAGGGGACCACGGAAUACCUGGUGUAGCGGUGAAAUGCGCAGAUAUCGGGAAGAACACCCGUGGCGAAGGCGGCUCUCUGGGACGGUACUGACGCUGAGACGCGAAAGCGUGGGGAGCGAACAGG
rnacentral:rRNA from 1 species